CCUGGCUGAUGCUUGCAGGCUCUCUGGGUGCCCAUCUGGCUCAGACCUUGGGCCCAGCACUGUAAUAGACACAGGGGAAGGCCGGGUAAGAGACACAUCUUGAUGUUCCCGUCGCGGAGACUUGGAUGACCAUAAUGCAAGGCGAGGUUGGUUGGCAGAGGAAGCAAGCCCAGCCGGGAGCACAUGGUUGAGAAUCCGCCUGCCAAUGCAGAGGACACGGGUUCGAGCCCUGGUCUGGGAAGAUCCCACAUGCCGCAGAGCGGCUGGGUCCGUGAGCCACAAUUACUGAGCCUGCGCAUCUGGAACCUGUGCUCCACAACAAGAGAGGCCGCAAUAGUGAGAGGCCUGCGCACCGCGAUGAAGAGUGGCCCCCGCUUGCCACAACUAGAGAAAGCCCUCGCACAGAAACGAAGACCCAACA